rnacentral:rRNA from 1 species
UACGAAGGGUGCAAACGUUGCUCGGAAUCAUUGGGCGUAAAGCGCACGUAGGCGGCUUUGCAAGUCGGACGUGAAAUCCCUCAGCUCAACUGAGGACGUGCAUCCGAAACUGCAAGGCUUGAGUGCGGCAGAGGAGACUGGAAUUCCUGGUGUAGCAGUGAAAUGCGUAGAUAUCAGGAGGAACACCGAUGGCGAAGGCAGGUCUCUGGGCUGACACUGACGCUCAUGCACGAAAGCGUGGGGAGCAAACAGG